CCUACGGGUGGCAGCAGUGAGGAAUAUUGGUCAAUGGACGAGAGUCUGAACCAGCCAAGUAGCGUGAAGGAUGACUGCCCUGUGGGUUGUAAACUUCUUUUAUAAAGGAAUAAAACGAGGCACGUGUGCCUGUUUGCAUGUACUUGAUGAAUAAGGAUCGGCUAACUCCGUGCCAGCAGCCGCGGUAAUACGGAGGAUCCGAGCGUUAUCCGGAUUUAUUGGGUUUAAAGGGUGCGUAGAUGGGUUGUUAAGUCAGUUGUUAAAGUUUGCGGCUCAACCGUAAAAUUGCAAUUGAGACUGGCAGUCUUGAGUACAGUUGAGGUAGGCGGAAUUCGUGGUGUAGCGGUGAAAUGCUUAGAUAUCACGAAGAACCCCGAUUGCGAAGGCAGCUUACUAACCUGUGACUGACAUUGAUGCACGAAAGUGUGGGUAUCAAACAGGAUUAGAUACCCCUGUAGUC
rnacentral:rRNA from 1 species